ACAAGCAUUGCAGCUGUGCUGGGAACAAACAUUUUCUCCUCCCCAUUUCAGUCUCUGCUCCCCUUGCAGAGUCCUUGCUGGCAGCUCUGCUCUCUGAAGGCUCUGAGGGGAUUCGUUGGGGUUUCUCAGUCUUUCUCACCCCUGCAGGAUGAGUGGUCACAGCAGGCGCCUCACAUAUCUCCUCCUCACUGCCUUCCUGAGGCAGCCACUGGGCACCCUGGGGCAGAUCACCGUCACCCAGCAAGAAGGACCAGUCACACUGAAACAGGGAGACACCUUUCGAACAAAUUGCACCUACCGGACCUCCAACUUUGGUGGCUUGCUCUGGUACCAGCAGAGGAAAGGCCAGGCUCCCCAGCUGGUCUCCUAUCAGGCAGGAGCUGGCUCCAAGCGGAACGGCCGUUUCACCACAUCCCUGAACCCCACAGAGAAAUCCAGCCUCCUGCAGCUGGAGGAAGUCGAAGGCUCUGACAGCGCCGUGUACCUCUGUGCUGUGCAGGACACGCUGGUGCAGGAGCUGCCUGGGCUGGGCAAAAACCUGGGGCAGGGAGGGGCUGGGGCUGGCAAGGCUGAGCCUGGGGGAAGGCUUUAUUCUGUGCUGCUUCUGCCCAAAGGCUUUGCAGAGGUGGCUUUUGGUUUCCACCAGGCAGAAACCAGAGCAAUGACCAACUUUUCCCUGCUGUUCUCUGCUGGCCAUGACCACAGGACUGUGGGAUUGUGAGGAGAGACACCUGGAGCAGAAGAUGGGUGUCAUUCCAAUGACUGCUUCUUUUCCACUCCUGAGAAGGUUGGCAACUCAGCGGUGAGGGAUGAUGCCCAAAGAAGUGACCCUGCAGGAGAUCCCAGCCUCCCCUUCCUCUGUGACAGGAAUAGGGUCUCCUCGUUCCCUCUUCUUCUCCACCAGAGCAUCACCUUUCUCCUUUGAAAGCAUGGGCAGCAGUCAAGAAGGAAGGAGCACGCAGGAGCCAGGCUUGAAUAUAGCAGAACUUUAAUGAGUCAGAAGAGGGAAACCAAGUCAAUCCAAGUGGAAGUUAGAAGUGCAGGGAGCCCGGGGAGCAGCUUAGAGUCUGAGAUCUUUGGCUGUAGAGAAGUUCCCGUGUGAUUUCUGUCAAUCUGCUCCAUGGAGGAAGAGGAGACAGAGGGUCCCCACCAGGCUGGUCUUCGGGGGACCUUGCUGUCAAGGGGAACCGAAGCAAACAAGGAAAAGGGAAGAAAGCCAAAACCAUUCAAUUAUCCUGGAAUUAUCCACAGCUGAUGACAUGGACAGGACUUUUGUUUCCAUCACGGAUGCCUUUUCAUUUUCACGUUUGUUCCAUGCCCAUUCCCCAAUGAAGGCUUCUUCCGAGUGCAGGGAUGAAAGGCCCCACAAUUUCCAAAGCAGGAACACAGCCCUAUGGCAGAAGACUCAGCUCCAGUGCUGGUCAGGUCCAGAACAGGCAGUGCCGUCACCCUGGGUCACUCUGGUGGGUCUGUUGGAAGUGCUGAUCUCAGGCAGAAGCUCCAGCCAUUCUCAGCCGAAUCCCUUGGGCUCAGGUGCAUGAGGACAGGCCAAGUCCUUCUCUUCCCCUCCCUCCUAAGCUCACCCCAAUUAUGUCUUGUUGUUGCCUCCCCAGGUGGGUGCGUUUGAUGCUGGGUUUUGUCCGCAUUAAGCCUGACAUGGCCCUCAGGAGAAAUUCUGGACAGUUUUGCCUCGUCCCCUCUCUGUGUAUGCUCUGAGCACACAAAUAAUG